rnacentral:misc_RNA from 1 species
AAAGUCGUAACAAGGUUUCCGUAGGUGAACCUGCGGAAGGAUCAUUAACAAAACACCUUGGUAAAGUGAUAACUACUUAAUUGUGGUUAUUGCUGAUACCAAAAACCUUUGUGAAUAGGGUGUGUCGUAAGACAUGCUUAGAAGGGAUCUGAGGGGAUGUUGACUUAUUAUGAAAACUUUGUAAGAUUCUAGUAAUAAUAAGGUCAAUCAACAUCAAAAUAUUCUUGUAGUCUAAUUAUUGUUGUCGAAAGACAUUCAAAUUAAUACAACUUUUAACAAUGGAUCUCUUGGCUCUU